rnacentral:lncRNA from 1 species
GAUGUCUACUCACCAUUUCUGUAGCGUACAGACUAGCUUCACUGCCCUAAAAAAAAAACGCUCUGUGCUUCAUCUAUUGUUCCUCUGUCCCAGCCUAAGCCCUGCAACUAUUGAUCCUUUCAUUGUCUUCACAGUUUUGCUUUUUCAAGAUUUCUUAGAGCAAGGAAGUCUUUUCAGACUGGCUUCUUUCACUUACAGUAUGUGGUACGGCUCCUCCAUGGCUUGAUAGCUCAUUUCUUUUAACUGCUGCAUAGUAUUCUAAUGUAUGAAUGUAUGACUGUGUAUACAUUCAGCUACUGAAGUACCUCUUUGCUACUUCCAGGUUUGGGCAGUUAUGAGUAAAGCUGUUAUAAACAUUUGAGUGUAGAUUUUUUGGUGGACAUAGAUUUUCAACUCAUUUGGACAAACAAAGCAGCAUGAUUGUUGGAAUAUAAGAAAUACAACUCACAAAAUGGCGGCACUCUGCAGGGCUGGGCCCCCGGAAUUAAUUCCCCAGCUCACCCAACGGAGCUUCAAGAAAUUCAAUUACAAUUUAAGUUUUCCCACCUUGGUACUGGCUCCCGUGGACAUAUUCAGGAAGGAGACCUGCUUGCCAAUGAGAACCCAGAAAUCAGUCUCCAUCUGUCCCCGAGCUGUUGUGCAAUGAGAGGUUCAGACCCCUUGCUCUGGUUGGCCUGAAAGCUGUGUUCAAGUAUUUUUCUUGAGAACAGGACUUUUCUCACUCUCAUAUGUAGUUUGAGAUCCUGGGUCUGGGGGACACCUGGAAUCAAGCAGCCUUUCCACUAGUUCUUCACUUGGAUGGGAGCACUCUCCCUAGGUGUCUGCAUGGCCAGCUCCCCUACAUCCUUUUUCCUCUAAGCCUUUACUGAAAUUUCACCUUCUCAAUAGGCUACGCCAUUGCAACCCACCCCAUGCCCACCCCUCAGCAUUCUCAACCUCCUUUGCUCUAUUUUUCAUAGUUCUUAUCACUUUCUUUUUGUCUUUGUUUUUUCUGCAGUUUCAAUAUGAUAACGCCUAGUUAUAGC